rnacentral:lncRNA from 1 species
AUGGGCUCCAAGAUCCCAGGGUAUCCAUGUUGCUCUAAACUAGGCAAGAUCCUGACCGGACUCACCCUUCAGGCAGGUUCUGGUGAAUUCGCUUGGUGGCUGGAGGAACAACGCAAGGAGAAGAGCUGUCCCCAUGAAGCACAGUGGGGAGUUUUCAGAGUCCUUCCCUCGCGUGGGAUGGAAGAGAAGCCGCUGGGCAUAGCUGAGAGUUGCCUGUCCUAUAAAGCGAAUUCUCCACUGAGAGGGUGGUACUUUCCUUGGCACACUGAUCAGGUGGGUACCAUGUGCUCCUUUCAUCUUUCUCUCAUCUUUCUCCUCCACCUCAGUGCCCAGGUAGUGCUGCCCUUGGCCAGCUCCUUGGCUUCCAGGUGCUGUUCCAUCCCCUCGUUCUUACCCCUCUCCCCAUGCCUUCCCGCCCCGCGUUCCCGUCCCGCUAAGAUUCUGCAAAGUGAGCGACGCUCAUUGGAUGAAUGAUUCUGGACAAGAGCUUCAUGUCUGAUGCUCGAUCCUGUCCGCUUCAAGAGUAUGCACAACCUAAAAGUUGAGAGUUAAGCUUUAUUUCGGGCGCAAUGAGGACUAUAGUCUGGGAGGCAGCCUUUCAGAGAGCUCUGAAAUACUGCUCCGAAGAGGUGGGGGGAUGUCAGUAUAAAUGUGAUUUGGGUGGAGGGGGAGGUACAGGCAACCAAGCACACAGUUUGCAGAAGGUUGCUGCUGCUCACAAGGAGCAGAGGUCACCACGAAGGAUUGUCGUGCUUGUCUAGAUACGAGGAGAUGCAAGAACUGGGCUUAUAAAAUCUCCUGGAAGUAUCUAGCUCCUGGAAGACCUGUUCUGCAGUUUUCCCAGGGCACAGUGUCUCACUCCUGGUCUCCAUCCUGAGCUCCUCUCAGGGCGUGUGGAGGUUCGGCAGCUGCGGGGACUCAUGGUUCCGUCCUCGUAGAGGCAGAGGGCAAGUGCCUGUCUCCAGGUCAUAGUUGGCUCCACCAUUAGGUCCAGGAGGGCGCUGACCGUGCCUGUCUAGUUUGCCUGGCUCUGCGUUUUCUACACCCUGGGUGCUCAGUGCUUCCUGCACCCGUCUGCUCAGCCCUUUUCUAUAGACCGUGAGCUCAGUAAGUGCUGGAUACCUGAGCAGGUGAACAAAAGACUAAGUGCCAUGAACACUCCCAGAUACCAUGUGCAUUUUAACUGGAACCUUCAGUACUUUAAGACAAGGGUGAAUAACGUGGCACUUUCAAGCCCAAAGACAUCAAACACGAGGGAGUAUUUUCUGCCAGGGCUCCUUUCUGUUGCAUGUGUU